rnacentral:rRNA from 1 species
AACGCUUGCGGCGUGCCUAAGAAAUGCAAGUCGAACGGGGUAGAGCAAUCUACUUUAGUGGCGAACGGUCGCGUAACACGUAAGCAACCUGCCCGGAAGUGGGGGAUAACGGUCCGAAAGGGCCGCUAAUACCGCAUGUGGUCAAGUCCCGGCAUCGGGAUUUGUCUAAAGCCUUGUGCGCUUCCGGAUGGGCUUGCGGCCUAUCAGGUAGUUGGUGGGGUAAUGGCCUACCAAGCCGACGACGGGUAGCUGGUCUGAGAGGACGAUCAGCCGGAUUGGGACUGAGAUACGGCCCAGACUCCUACGGGGGGCAGCAAUUAGGAAUCUUGCGCAAUGGGGGCAACCCUGACGCAGCGACGCCGCGUGCGGGACGAAGGCAUUCGUGCCGUAAACCGCUUUUUUGGGGGAAGAAGGAUGUGACGGUACCCCAAGAAUAAGCCCCGGCUAACUACGUGCCAGCAGCCGCGGUAAUACGUAGGGGGCGAGCGUUGUCCGAAGUUACUGGGCGUAAAGCGCGCGUAGGCGGUCCUUUAAGUCUGAGGUGAAAGGUUCAACGCUCAACGUGAACAGUGCCUUGGAGACUGGGGGACUUGAGUGUGGGA